rnacentral:tRNA from 1 species
CUCGCAGUGAUGAAAUUGGUAUACAUAAGGGACUUAAAAUCCCUCGGCAUUUAGCCAUGUGGGUUCGAGUCCCACCUGCGAGA